GACGAACGCUGGCGGCGUGCUUAACACAUGCAAGUCGAACGGAAAGGCCCUGCUUUUGUGGGGUGCUCGAGUGGCGAACGGGUGAGUAACACGUGAGUAACCUGCCCUUGACUUUGGGAUAACUUCAGGAAACUGGGGCUAAUACCGGAUAGGAGCUCCUGCUGCAUGGUGGGGGUUGGAAAGUUUCGGCGGUUGGGGAUGGACUCGCGGCUUAUCAGCUUGUUGGUGGGGUAGUGGCUUACCAAGGCUUUGACGGGUAGCCGGCCUGAGAGGGUGACCGGCCACAUUGGGACUGAGAUACGGCCCAGACUCCUACGGGAGGCAGCAGUGGGGAAUAUUGCACAAUGGGCGGAAGCCUGAUGCAGCAACGCCGCGUGCGGGAUGACGGCCUUCGGGUUGUAAACUGCUUUCGCCUGUGACGAAGCGUGAGUGACGGUAAUGGGUAAAGAAGCACCGGCUAACUACGUGCCAGCAGCCGCGGUGAUACGUAGGGUGCGAGCGUUGUCCGGAUUUAUUGGGCGUAAAGGGCUCGUAGGUGGUUGAUCGCGUCGGAAGUGUAAUCUUGGGGCUUAACCCUGAGCGUGCUUUCGAUACGGGUUGACUUGAGGAAGGUAGGGGAGAAUGGAAUUCCUGGUGGAGCGGUGGAAUGCGCAGAUAUCAGGAGGAACACCAGUGGCGAAGGCGGUUCUCUGGGCCUUUCCUGACGCUGAGGAGCGAAAGCGUGGGGAGCGAACAGGCUUAGAUACCCUGGUAGUCCACGCUGUAAACGGUGGGUACUAGGUGUGGGGUCCAUUCCACGGGUUCCGUGCCGUAGCUAACGCUUUAAGUACCCCGCCUGGGGAGUACGGCCGCAAGGCUAAAACUCAAAGGAAUCGACGGGGCCCCGCACAAGCGGCGGAGCAUGCGGAUUAAUUCGAUGCAACGCGUAGAACCUUACCUGGGUUUGACAUGGAUCGGGAGCGCUCAGAGAUGGGUGUGCCUCUUUUGGGGUCGGUUCACAGGUGGUGCAUGGCUGUCGUCAGCUCGUGUCGUGAGAUGUUGGGUUAAGUCCCGCAACGAGCGCAACCCUUGUUCACUGUUGCCAGCACGUUAUGGUGGGGACUCAGUGGAGACCGCCGGGGUCAACUCGGAGGAAGGUGGGGAUGACGUCAAGUCAUCAUGCCCCUUAUGUCCAGGGCUUCACGCAUGCUACAAUGGCUGGUACAGAGAGUGGCGAGCCUGUGAGGGUGAGCGAAUCUCGGAAAGCCGGUCUCAGUUCGGAUUGGGGUCUGCAACUCGACCUCAUGAAGUCGGAGUCGCUAGUAAUCGCAGAUCAGCAACGCUGCGGUGAAUACGUUCCCGGGGCU
rnacentral:rRNA from 1 species